AAUUAAAUAAAAAAUUCUUGUUAACAUGGCGUACUUUUUGUUUUUGUUAAAUAGCUCUAAUAAUGAAGAAAAAAGAACAAAUUGCACUUUAGAAAAACAUUGCAGAUUUAGAAAAAUAACAAAGAUGACAACCGGAAGAUUUAUAAUGCGGGUUAAGAUGAUGAAGAGAGAAUAGUGAUUGAGAGUGAUUGUAUAUAAAAUCUCGAUUAACAUACAGAAAAACUUGUAAUAAAAAAUGCACACACUCACUCACGUAAACAUUUAAAACAUAUAUAUAAUACUCAAGUAAGAAAUAAAACAACAACAAUAACUAAAAUACAGUUCAACGAA